rnacentral:rRNA from 1 species
GACGAACGCUGGCGGCGUGCUUAACACAUGCAAGUCGAACGGAAAGGCCCUGCUUGCAGGGUACUCGAGUGGCGAACGGGUGAGUAACACGUGGGUGAUCUGCCCUGCACUUCGGGAUAAGCCUGGGAAACUGGGUCUAAUACCGGAUAGGAGCCAUUUUUAGUGUGAUGGUUGGAAAGUUUUUUCGGUGUAGGAUGAGCUCGCGGCCUAUCAGCUUGUUGGUGGGGUAAUGGCCUACCAAGGCGGCGACGGGUAGCCGGCCUGAGAGGGUGGACGGCCACAUUGGGACUGAGAUCCGGCCCAGACUCCUACGGGAGGCAGCAGUGGGGAAUAUUGCACAAUGGGCGCAAGCCUGAUGCAGCGACGCCGCGUGGGGGAUGACGGCCUUCGGGUUGUAAACUCCUUUCGCUAGGGACGAAGCUUUUUGUGACGGUACCUAGAUAAGAAGCACCGGCUAACUACGUG